rnacentral:rRNA from 1 species
UACAGAGGGUGCAAGCGUUGUUCGGAAUUAUUGGGCGUAAAGAGCUCGUAGGCGGUUUAUCGCGUCGGAUGUGAAAACCCAGGGCUCAACCCUGGGCCUGCAUUCGAUACGGGCAGACUAGAGUAUGGCAGGGGAGACUGGAAUUCCUGGUGUAGCGGUGAAAUGCGCAGAUAUCAGGAGGAACACCGGUGGCGAAGGCGGGUCUCUGGGCCAAAACUGACGCUGAGGAGCGAAAGCGUGGGGAGCGAACAGG